CCGGACCCCCCGUGCGGUGGUACCUCGGUGAAUCCCCCAGGGCAGGAAUGCAGCAAGGGCAACUGAGCUCUUCCAGGUGCGCGGGGGGUUCUUCCU
rnacentral:SRP_RNA from 1 species